CUUCCGGGGGCGGCACCCAGGCCCGCAGAGUCCGCCUGAGAGUGUGGACCAAAUCGGGGCUCUCCGAAGCCCAGAUUUAAGGAAGACCGGGUGGUGUGGGAGGCAGGUAUGGGGGCGUUAGGGGGGCCUCCAAGACACUUCCCCUGAGCGCGGAGGCAGAAUUUCUCCUGCCCAUUUUGGACCCUUAUCGAAAUCCCCACAUGAGACUAGUAGUGAAUCAGCCUACACCGAGUUUCUCAGAGCAUCCCCACAUGGCAGGCAUUAUCGGCUUACACUAUAGGCGACCCCUGUGAAGGGUCGUUCGACCCCCAAAGGGGUCGCGACCCACAGGUUGAAAACCGCUGCCAUAGGGUCUUAAAGCAGAAAAGUGAAAGGAUCUGGAAUUAUCCAGCCGAAGAGGAUGGCCCAGAAAGCAAACCAACAUUUGAUGGUGCAGGACUCAGAAGGUGACCAGCAGUGUUCUGUUCUAAGGAGAAGUGAAAAAUGAAUCUUCAACUACAAAAGAGUUACAUAAGCAUCUUUUCCCGAAUUGCGUAAGCCUGGCCCCAGGGACUAUAACACAAAGCUGAGAGAGAAAACUUGUCCAGCUUGCCCAUGGCUGCACUGCUCUGCGGGUCUCCCCUGAGGAGUUUGCAGUUUUACACCCUCUGUAGUUCAGUUCUACAAUAUCCCUCUCAGAGCAUGCGCCACACUUGUUUGGAGACAGUCUGCCUCGCUAAACUAAAAGACCCACCAGGGCAGGAACUGAGGUUGGCUUUUGACAGUGCCCUUUGAUACGCAGAAGAUUUGAAUUUUGACAUAGUCCUAGUUAUCUAUUUUUCUUUUGUUCCCAUAUUUUUGAUGUCAUAUCCAUAUCUUUGAUGUCAAUAUUCAAGAAAUCAUCGCCAAAUGCAAUAUCAUGAAGAUUUUCCACUGUGUUUUUUUUUCCCCCCAAAAGUGUUCUUGUUUUAGCUCUGAUGUUUAGAUCUUAUCUGUUUUAUGUUAAUUUUAUAUAUGGUAUUUUUAAAAAAAGG